rnacentral:rRNA from 1 species
GUUAAGCGACUAAGCGUACACGGUGGAUGCCCUGGCAGUCAGAGGCGAUGAAGGACGUGCUAAUCUGCGAUAAGCGUCGGUAAGGUGAUAUGAACCGUUAUAACCGGCGAUUUCCGAAUGGGGAAACCCAGUGUGUUUCGACACACUAUCAUUAACUGAAUCCAUAGGUUAAUGAGGCGAACCGGGGGAACUGAAACAUCUAAGUACCCCGAGGAAAAGAAAUCAACCGAGAUUCCCCCAGUAGCGGCGAGCGAACGGGGAGCAGCCCAGAGCCUGAAUCAGUGUGUGUGUUAGUGGAAGCGUCUGGAAAGGCGCGCGAUACAGGGUGACAGCCCCGUACACAAAAAUGCACAUGCUGUGAGCUCGAUGAGUAGGGCGGGACACGUGGUAUCCUGUCUGAAUAUGGGGGGACCAUCCUCCAAGGCUAAAUACUCCUGACUGACCGAUAGUGAACCAGUACCGUGAGGGAAAGGCGAAAAGAACCCCGGCGAGGGGAGUGAAAAAGAACCUGAAACCGUGUACGUACAAGCAGUGGGAGCACGCUUAGGCGUGUGACUGCGUACCUUUUGUAUAAUGGGUCAGCGACUUAUAUUCUGUAGCAAGGUUAACCGAAUAGGGGAGCCGAAGGGAAACCGAGUCUUAACUGGGCGUUAAGUUGCAGGGUAUAGACCCGAAACCCGGUGAUCUAGCCAUGGGCAGGUUGAAGGUUGGGUAACACUAACUGGAGGACCGAACCGACUAAUGUUGAAAAAUUAGCGGAUGACUUGUGGCUGGGGGUGAAAGGCCAAUCAAACCGGGAGAUAGCUGGUUCUCCCCGAAAGCUAUUUAGGUAGCGCCUCGUGAAUUCAUCUCCGGGGGUAGAGCACUGUUUCGGCAAGGGGGUCAUCCCGACUUACCAACCCGAUGCAAACUGCGAAUACCGGAGAAUGUUAUCACGGGAGACACACGGCGGGUGCUAACGUCCGUCGUGAAGAGGGAAACAACCCAGACCGCCAGCUAAGGUCCCAAAGUCAUGGUUAAGUGGGAAACGAUGUGGGAAGGCCCAGACAGCCAGGAUGUUGGCUUAGAAGCAGCCAUCAUUUAAAGAAAGCGUAAUAGCUCACUGGUCGAGUCGGCCUGCGCGGAAGAUGUAACGGGGCUAAACCAUGCACCGAAGCUGCGGCAGCGACGCUGAUGCGUUGUUGGGUAGGGGAGCGUUCUGUAAGCCUGCGAAGGUGUGCUGUGAGGCAUGCUGGAGGUAUCAGAAGUGCGAAUGCUGACAUAAGUAACGAUAAAGCGGGUGAAAAGCCCGCUCGCCGGAAGACCAAGGGUUCCUGUCCAACGUUAAUCGGGGCAGGGUGAGUCGACCCCUAAGGCGAGGCCGAAAGGCGUAGUCGAUGGGAAACAGGUUAAUAUUCCUGUACUUGGUGUUACUGCGAAGGGGGGACGGAGAAGGCUAUGUUGGCCGGGCGACGGUUGUCCCGGUUUAAGCGUGUAGGCUGGUUUUCCAGGCAAAUCCGGAAA